GGCUGCAUCAACAGACGUCUAGUGCCAAGGUCAGGGGAAGUAAUGGUCCCACUCUAUUCCUCCUUGGUCAGACCACACCUGGAGUUCUGUAUCCAGUUCUGGGCACCACAAUUUAAGAAGGAUAUUGUCAAACUGGAACAUGUGCAGAGGAGGGCGGCCAAGAUGAUCAAGUAUCUGGAAACCAGGCGAUAGGAGGAGCCACUUUGUUUAGCAUGGAAAAGAGGAGACUGAUGGAUCAGGCUAAAGAGGGGCCCUUUAGUCCAUCAUCCUAUCCUCAUCAUGGCCUACUAGAUGCCCCAAUGGGAAGCUCUGAAGCAGGACCCGAGUGCAACAGCAGCAACUCUCCCCACUUAAAAUUCCCAGCAGCUGAUACCAUGGCUAGUAGCCAGCCCUGUCCACAGAUCCUACCACUCUGUCUGAUAAUAAAGCCAGCCCAAUUAAGGGUAGUAAACCUUGAGACUCAGGAGCCCAGAAAGUUAUUAACUAUUGAGCAUUCCAGAUUUUAAAUGCAAACCUACAAGAUUCCCUUACCCCCUAUACAUCUAAUUGAUCACUUCGAUUGGUGGAACUGGCCCUGUUACAUGUGCCAAAUAAUUCCUAUUCCACAUCUGUAGAGAACUGAUCUUUGAGUGUGGCUUCACUUACACUCUGGAACUCCCUGCCUAUUGACAGCAGGCAGGUGCCUUCCCUGUGGGGCAUUAUUGCAGUCAAACCAGCAAUUCAUGCUUUGCCAGAUGGUGAUAUGAAGGGGCUGAGGCUCACAAAGCCUUCCUGUAAAAUUUGCUAGGGAGAACUCUGUGAGAUCACUUCCUUUGUCUGCCUUGGCAGGAAGCUGUAACACUACAUACUUCCUUCCUGCCUGGGCGGCCUUCUCUUUUCCCCCUAUCAUGUUUCCAAGUUGACCCCACCUGUAUGUUUGAACCAAGCAGCUCAGGUACCAUUUUUUAAUUUCAGCUUUAUACUUUUGUAACUUAAAUAGCAGUUAUCAACCUGCCUUCAUUUUGCUUCUGUAAUAGCUGCUUCAAUACCUAGGUUUUGUGAAUAUUUAAAACAGAGCAUGGUUUACAACUCUUCUGACCUACCAAGAAAAGGACGUUGCAAGAGAGCUUGCCAUCCCAAUAUGAAGACAAGCGGGCUCUUUAAUGCUCACCACCAGAUGGACAUUCUCUCCAAAUGCAAGAUUCUUGGCAUGGGGUGGCAUAGCAGACCUUUGAUGGCUUUGAUGUAAAGCUCUGAAGUGUGCCAGGACACUUCAUAAAAUGCCACAGCCAGAGAUAACUUUGGGCAAAUGAAAGGCAGACUUUCCCUCUCUCCAACCCAGCUAGGCUUUCCAAGAGACUGGUUUUGCUCCAGGUUUUAUGAACUCAUUUGAAUGCAGAGAUCGGGACCUGUCAGUUUUCUGUACAGUUUUACAAUGGUGCGUGUAUAUGAAAUUAAGAAGACAAAUUUCUGAAGGAGAGGCCUGUCAAUGACUGCUCACCACGAUGGCUGUGCUCUGCCUCCACAGUCAGGGGCAGUGAAUACCCUUCUCAAUACCGGUUGCUGGAAGCCACAGGAGGGAACAGGGAUCUUGGGCUCAAAUCCAGCUGCUGGGCUUUCCAUUGGGACUGCUGUUCAGCUGCUGCGAAAACAGGAUGCUGGACUAGGUGGGCCAUUGGCCUGAUCCAGCAGGCUCUUAUGUUCUUGAAAUCUUGAGCCCCGAAACACUAUAUGCUACCUUAUUUUUAAAAAUCUCUUAAUUCUGUUUUAUCCAACUAUAUACACAUCUGGAUGCUUGUGUUCCAUGUGCUACUUAUUUUGUUUCUGUCAUGCCAGUCGUUGAGCAUAAUAAUAACGGUCUGGGAUAAAAAAAAUUUACGUUCUUAUGUUAUUUGGUUUUUGCUGUUGUUUUUCAAAACAACAACAACACCAGCUUCUGGCUUAGGGGGCAUUAUUUCAUUAUAUAUCUGCAUGAUAUUGUUAUAUGUUGAAACAAUUUAAUAAAAAUUACGGUAAGGUAAAAUAAAAAAAAGGUUUGAUUUGGACUUGAUUUGGAUGCGACGUGCCACUUUGCAGCAGCUUUCUAGAGGAUGUGAGCAACGAGCUUAUAGCCCAUGCUGGACCCUCCCUGUUGUUCUUUCCUGUGAACAGCAAUAAAAUAAAAUAAUGUGUAUGUGUUUGUGUGUAUUUUGCUGGCUAGAUUUCUCUUUCCAGCUGGUGCCAGUAUAACAGAAACAAGACUGAGAUCAACACAGCUACUUAGGCACUUUUAUUGGCCCUCUGCAUGAUGGGAAUCAAAUAAUAGGCUAUAAAGAAGGCAUAAUAAAGCCCUUCUGUAGCUUUCCAUAGCUUCUCGCCGGAGCUCUGUAAUAGACUUUCUCCCUUACCCCCGCCAGUGCCCUUCUCAUGGAAACUCCGCCUGCUGCCCCCUGCAGUCUUAUAACACAGGCCACAUUUGUCCUUGAGACUCGAUAAACAUUACCCUCUGGUGUUAGCUUUCCGCUUGGCUUACAUGCUUGGAAAACAUCUUUCUGUUGCAGAGUGUGGAAUGAGCAAAUGGGAUUAACUGGCCACUUUUCUGAGGUCAGCGGAAUUGGUGGGUCCCAGUAGAUUUAUGUGGAAAUGUCGGCUUCUGAGAAACACACAUUAUCUUUUAAAAUCAUUUGGAGUCUAUGUUUCGUGUAUGUAUGUGUGGCUUAACGUGCCCAGCUCUGAAUUGUGCUGAUUUCCAGAGGGUCACAGUUUUCUUGUUAGAUCUUCUGGAAGCAAAGCAGGGAUUGCAUUUGCUGUCUGGAUAUUAUUAG